UACGUAGGGGGCCAGCGUUGUUCGGAAUUACUGGGUGUAAAGGGUUCGUAGGCGGUGCGGCAAGUUGGGAGUGAAAUCUCUGGGCUUAACCCAGAGGCUGCUUUCAAAACUGCUGUGCUUGAGUGUGAGAGAGGCUCGUGGAAUUGCAGGUGUAGCGGUGAAAUGCGUAGAUAUCUGCAGGAACACCCGUGGCGAAAGCGGCGAGCUGGAUCGCUACUGACGCUGAGGAACGAAAGCUAGGGGAGCAAACAGG
rnacentral:rRNA from 1 species